GCAGCAGCCACGGUAAUACGAAGGGGGCUAGCGUUGUUCGGAAUUACUGGGCGUAAAGCGCACGUAGGCGGAUAUUUAAGUCAGGGGUGAAAUCCCGCAGCUCAACUGCGGAACUGCCUUUGAUACUGGGUAUCUUGAGUAUGGAAGAGGUUAGUGGAAUUGCGAGUGUAGAGGUGAAAUUCGUAGAUAUUCGCAGGAACACCAGUGGCGAAGGCGGCUAACUGGUCCAUAACUGACGCUGAGGUGCUAAAGCGUGGGGAGCAAACAGGAUUAGAUACCCCCGUAGUCCCUGUCUCUUAUAC
rnacentral:rRNA from 1 species